rnacentral:lncRNA from 13 species
AUGUGAUCAAACAUGUUCACAUUUCUCUUCACUGUUACUGUCUCACUGCUCUGUGCUGCAGGUCUUGUUGAGGGGAGUGGAGUCACUCAGACACCCACCAUACUCUGGGAACUGAAAGAACGUGAUGCUCUGAUGAACUGCAGUCACACUAAGGGAUCUGGCUACUUCCAGAUGUACUGGUACAGACAGCUUCCAGGAGAGGGAAUGAAGCAGGUAGUCUUCAUUACUCCCAGUUCUCAACCUGACUAUUCAGGGGAAUUCAGUAAAGACAAAUUCUCAGCCAGCAAGGCUGUAGCUGAGAGUGGAUCUUUCACAGUGAAGAAGUUGGAGACAGGAGACAGUGGAAUGUACUUCUGUGCUGUGAGUGAACACAGUGAUACAGACAACAAGUACAGCUGCACACAAACCCCAGUAUUUCAACAGGAUGUAACAUAAUAUGUAAAGAGAUGGUCUCAUCACAUACUGUAGGGGGACCUCUAACUCUAGUUCUUCUAAUGUCUGAUGGUCUCAUCAUAUACUGUAGGGGGACCUCUAACUCUAGUUCUUCUAAUGUCUGAUGGUCUCAUCACAUACUGUAGGGGGACCUCUAACUCUAGUUCUUCUAAUGUCUGAUGGUCUCAUCACAUACUGUAGGGGGACCUCUAACUCUAGUUCUUCUAAUGUCUGAUGGUCUCAUCACAUACUGUAGGGGGACCUCUAACUCUAGUUCUUCUAAUGUCUGAUGGUCUCAUCACAUACUGUAGGGGGACCUCUAACUCUAGUUCUUCUAAUGUCUGAUGGUCUCAUCACAUACUGUAGGGGGACCUCUAACUCUAGUUCUUCUAAUGUCUGAUGGUCUCAUCACAUACUGUAGGGGGACCUCUAACUCUAGCUCUUCUAAUGUCUGAUGGGUUCAUUGUCAUGAUCAUGUAAUCAGUCAUGUUCACAGUGAGGCCCUAUGAGCAGGCUUUACAGUACAGGCUUCCUGACACUCCCUCUAACACUGUCACUAUCCACCACCCUGAAGGAAACAUGCUACUACAACAGCCAAUCUCCUUUCACCUCAGAGCUUCACCCAGGAGACACUCAUAUCACCUCCUCAUCAUCAUCGUCUUCCUCAGCAUAUUCAUCAUCUUCAUCAUUAUAUUUUUCUUCAUCAUGAUGUUCAGAGUUCUGAUUCACCUGGCAGCUCUACCACUCUGGGUGACAGGGCAGUUGUUUAGUAGCAUGGUUCAUCAGAGGCCUGUGGCACUAACAGAAGGUCCUGGAGGAGACUUUCAACUCACCUGCAGCCAUACAAUCCCUAACUACUACGUGAUACUAUGGUACAAACAGUCAGCAGGAGACACUGCUAUGAAACUCAUUGGUUAUGCAAAUUACAAGUCAAUAACCAUGGAGAAAUCAUUUGAAAAGCACUUCAAUGUGAGUGGAGACGGUGGGAAAGAGGCUUAUCUUCAUCUAGUGAGUCUGAGAGGACCUGAACACAGUGCAGUUUAUUACUGUGCAGCCAGCCAACACAGUGAUGUAGACUUCCUCCUGUUCUCUACUAAAACCCUGUCUGAUGGUAAUAUUUGACCACGGCUCAGAACACCUGCAUCUGAGGUUUGACUUUGACUCAGUGCCAAUGAAUAAACACAGAUGGAUGAUGGCAUAAGGUGAUAUCUGUCCUAGUACAGUAUACCAGUAUUUACAGUUAACUGUCACCACUCAUUAACAUACAUUAUGCAAUGUUACAAUGUCAAAUUCCAUUACUCCAUUUCUAUCUAUAUAAAAAGACAAAUCCUUUAAUGAUGUAGAUACCGGUAUGUUCCACAAUGCACCUUUGAGUUGAACAGGAGACCUGUAGGUGAACAAGGGAUCUGCUUGAAUAUCAACACAAGUUCUGACGUCAAAGUGAUGUCAUUUCCUUCCCCUCCGGCAGCUCAGUUCAGCUCCCCUUCUCUAUUGACUUAUUCUCCUCUCCCCCCUAUGGGCUCUGGUCUAAAGUAGUGCACUAGAAAGGGAAUAGGGUGCCAUUUGGGAUGCUGACAUACAUUUGACACUCCCAGUAGAUGACAUGACAUCUCUGACUAUCUGAAAACCCUUUCUCCUUGUCCAUGUGACUCUUCUCUCCAGAACCAUCAACAUGAUCAAGCUUCUCAUUCAUGUAGCAACUCUACCACUAUGGGUGACAGGUACUAAAUCCCUCGUGAAAGAUAGAUUUACUACUGAAAUAUAUUGCUGUGAAUAUGCUGAGUAAUACUGUAUAUUUCAUAUGGUCUGUUUUCAUCCACAGGGCUGUCACAAACAGACAAAGUUCACCAGACUCCUACUGCAAUACUAAAAGGACCUGAAGACAAAGUUAAUCUCACCUGCAGCCACACUGAUCAAAGAUACGACAGGAUACUGUGGUACCAACAGUCAGCCCAAAACACUGCUCUGAAACUCAUUGGGUAUGUGUGGAACACCAGUCCAACGGUGGAAGAUUCCUUUAAAGGGCGUUUUGAUGUCAGUGGAGAUGCUGCAGCUAAUAAAAUGGCGUAUCUACAUUUUCCCAAAGUGCCAGAAGCUGAAGACAGUGCAGUGUAUUUCUGUGCUGCUAGUGAAGCACAGUGUUUCACUAUACCCUCUCUCCUCUACAAAAACCCUCUCUGAUCCUCUCAUAUAAUACUGACUACAGCUCUAUACACCUGCACCUGUCUUCAAACACUUCAACAACACUUUGCUAUGAACCAUUAGAUAUCAGACAGAUGGUAAUGAUACUGUUAUAAGUGGCUAGUUUAGAUGGUUUAGGUGCACUUCCUCAGUUCUCCACCAGGAGGGAGUGUUUCUCAACACACAUUUAGAAGAUGCUGUAUCGUGGCACUUUAUGGGCCCCGGUCAAAGUUAGUGCACUAUAUAGGGAAUAGGGUGUCACUUGGGACAUUACGGGUGCCUGGACCAGGGCCAAUGGUAUGAGUGGGCCCUAGGGGGCCUGGGACAGGGAAUGUGGUACGGGAGGGCCCUAGGGGGCCUGGGACAGGGAGUGGUACGGGAGGGCCCUACGGGGCCUGGGACAGGGAAUGUGGUACGGGAGGGCCCUAGGGGGCCUGGGACAGGGAGUGGUACGGGAGGGCCCUAGGGGGCCUGGGACAGGGCCGGUGGUACGGGAGGGCCCUAGGGGGCCUGGGACAGGGAAUGGUACGGGAGGGCCCUAGGGGGCCUGGGACAGGGCCGGUGGUACGGGAGGGCCC